GACCUAAUGGCGAAAUGGUAUCGCGUCCGUACCCACUGAUACCCGUCCAGUUUUGUAGUAUGGAAAUUCCCGGUUCGACCCCGGGUUAGGUCG